rnacentral:rRNA from 1 species
AGGACGAACGCUGGCGGCGUGCCUAACACAUGCAAGUCGAACGGGACCAGGGGCAACUCUGGUUCAGUGGCGGACGGGUGCGUAACACGUGAGGAACAUGACCUUCGGCGGGGAUAGCCGGCCCAACGGCCGGGUAAUACCGCGUACGACCACAUGGGGACA